rnacentral:rRNA from 1 species
UACGUAGGGGGGCAAGCGUUUGUCCGGAUUUAUUGGGCGUAAAGAGCUCGUAGGUGGUUCGGUAAGUCGGAUGUGAAAUCUCCAGGCUCAACCUGGAGGGGUCAUUCGAUACUGCCGUGACUAGAGGUCGGUAGGGGAGUGUGGAAUUCCUGGUGGAGCGGUGAAAUGCGCAGAUAUCAGGAGGAACACCCGUAGCGAAGGCGGCACUCUGGGCCGAUACUGACACUGAGGAGCGAAAGCGUGGGGAGCGAACAGG